rnacentral:rRNA from 1 species
AAACAGGAUUAGAUACCCUGGUAGUCCACGCAGUAAACGAUGAUUACUAGGAGUUUGCGAUACACAGUAAGCUCUACAGCGAAAGCGUUAAGUAAUCCACCUGGGGAGUACGCCGGCAACGGUGAAACUCAAAGGAAUUGACGGGGGCCCGCACAAGCGGAGGAACAUGUGGUUUAAUUCGAUGAUACGCGAGGAACCUUACCCGGGUUUGAACGUAGUCAGACCGGCCUUGAAAGAGGUCUUCUAGCAAUAGCUGAUUACGAGGUGCUGCAUGGUUGUCGUCAGCUCGUGCCGUGAGGUGUCGGCUUAAGUGCCAUAACGAGCGCAACCCUUAUCACUAGUUACUAACAGGUCAAGCUGAGGACUCUGGUGAGACUGCCAGCGUAAGCUGUGAGGAAGGUGGGGAUGACGUCAAAUCAGCACGGCCCUUACAUCCGGGGCGACACACGUGUUACAAUGGCAUGGACAAAGGGCAGCUACCUGGCGACAGGAUGCUAAUCUCUAAACCAUGUCUCAGUUCGGAUCGGAGUCUGCAACUCGACUCCGUGAAGCUGGAUUCGCUAGUAAUCGCGCAUCAGCCAUGGCGCGGUGAAUACGUUCCCGGGCCUUGUACACACCGCCCGUCAAGCCAUGGGAGCCGGGGGUACCUGAAGUCCGUAACCGCAAGGAUCGGCCUAGGGUAA